rnacentral:rRNA from 1 species
UACGUAGGGGGCAAGCGUUGUCCGGAAUUAUUGGGCGUAAAGAGCGUGUAGGCGGCUUGGUAGGUCCGCUGUGAAAACUCGAGGCUCAACCUCGAGAUGUCGGCGGAAACCACUUGGCUAGAGUCCGGAAGAGGAGAGUGGAAUUCCUGGUGUAGCGGUGAAAUGCGCAGAUAUCAGGAAGAACGCCUAUGGCGAAGGCAGCUCUCUGGGACGGUACUGACGCUGAGACGCGAAAGCGUGGGGAGCGAACAGG